GAACUGCGAUAAGUAAUGUGAAUUGCGGAAUUCAGUGAAUCAUCGAGUCUUUGAACGCACAUUGCGCCCCCUGGCAUUCCGGGGGACAUGCCUGUCCGAGCGUCAUUGCUGCCCUUCAAGCCCGGCUUGUGUGUUGGGUCGUCGUCCCCCCCGGGGGACGGACCCGAAAGGCAGCGGCGGCACCGUGUCCGGUCCUCGAGCGUAUGGGGCUUUGUCACCCGCUCGAUUAGGACCGGCCGGGCGCCCGCCGGCGUCAAACCCCAAUCUUUCUAAGGUUGACCUCGGAUCAGGUAGGGAUACCCGCUGAACUUAAGC
rnacentral:misc_RNA from 1 species